rnacentral:rRNA from 1 species
CGCUGGCGGCGUGCCUAAUACAUGCAAGUCGAACGGUCUUUCUAUGGAAGCUUGCUUCCACUGAGAAGAGUAGUAGGCGAACGGGUGAGUAACACGUGGGUAACCUGCCCAUAAGAGGGGGGAUAACAUCCGGAAACGGGUGGCUAAUACCGCAUAGUUUCUUGAUCGCAUGAUCGGGAAAGGAAAGACGGCCUUUGUGCUGUCGCUUAUGGAUGGACCCGCGGCGUAUUAGUUAGUUGGUGAGGUAAUGGCUCACCAAGACGAUGAUACGUAGCCGACCUGAGAGGGUGAUCGGCCACAUUGGGACUGAGACACGGCCUAAACUCCUACGGGAGGCAGCAGUAGGGAAUCUUCCGCAAUGGACGAAAGUCUGACGGAGGCAACGCCGCGUGAGUGAAGAAGGUUUUCGGAAUCGUAAAACUCUGUUGUCAGAGAAGAACAAGUUUGGAGAGUAACUGCUCCAGCCUUGACGGUAUCUGACCUGAAAGCCACGGCUAACUACGUGCCAGCAGCAGC